CCUUCCACCGACAUGAAGUUAAGAUUCCCCUCCCUCCGGAAAAGUGAAGAGGGUAAAAAGCUCAGAUUUAUAAUCUGGCGGUCUCUUGGCUGUCCGAGUUGUAAUCUAGAGAAGUGAUGCCCGCGCUGGACCGUGUACAAGUCCCCUGGAAUGGAGCGUCAUAGAGGGUGAGAAUCCCGUCUCUGACACGGACUACCAGGGCUUUGUGGUACGCUCUCAAAGAGUCGAGUUGUUUGGGAAUGCAGCUCAAAAUGGGUGGUAAAUUCCAUCUAAAGCUAAAUAUUGGCGAGAGACCGAUAGCGAACAAGUACCGUGAGGGAAAGAUGAAAAGAACUUUGGAAAGAGAGUUAAACAGUACGUGAAAUUGCUGAAAGGGAAACGCUUGAAGUCAGUCGCGUUGGCCAGGGAUCAGCCUCGCUUUUGCGUGGUGUACUUUCUGGUUGACGGGUCAACAUCAAUUUUGACUGCUGGAAAAAGGCUUGGGGAAUGUGGCAGCUUUCGGCUGUGUUAUAGCCUCAUGUUUGUAUACAGCAGUUGGGAUUGAGGAAACUCAGCACGCCGCAAGGCCGGGUUUCGACCACGUUCGUGCUUAGGAUGUUGGCAUAAUGGCUUUAAGCGACCCGUCUUGAAACACGGACCAAGGAGUCUAACAUGCCCUGCGAGUGUUUGGGUGGUAAACCCCAAGCGCGUAAUGAAAGUGAAAGUUGAGAUCCCCUGUCAUGGGGAGCAUCGACGCCCCGGACCAGAACUUUUUGGGACGGAUCCCCGGUAGAGCAUGUUAUUGUUUGGGGACCCGAAAGAUGGUGAAUUAUGCCUUGAAUAGGGUGACAGCCCAGAGGAAACUUCUGCGUGGAGGCUCCGUAGCGAUUCUGAACGUGCAAAUCGAUCCGUCAAAUUUGGGUAUAGGGGGCGAAAGAACAAUCGAAACCUUCUAUAGCUGGGUUCCUGCCGAAAUUCCCCUCCAGGAAAAA
rnacentral:rRNA from 1 species